UACGUAGGGUGCAAGCGUUGUCCGGAAUUAUUGGGCGUAAAGAGCUCGUAGGCGGUUCGUCGCGUCGGCUGUGAAAACCCGGAGCUCAACUCCGGGCCUGCAGUCGAUACGGGCGGACUGGAGUGUUGCAGGGGAGACUGGAAUUCCUGGUGUAGCGGUGAAAUGCGCAGAUAUCAGGAGGAACACCGGUGGCGAAGGCGGUUCUCUGGGCAUUACCUGACGCUGAGGAGCGAAAGUGUGGGGAGCGAACAGG
rnacentral:rRNA from 1 species